rnacentral:rRNA from 1 species
UUGAACGCUGGCGGCAGGCUUAACACAUGCAAGUCGAGCGGGGGAAGGUAGCUUGCUACCGGACCUAGCGGCGGACGGGUGAGUAAUGCUUAGGAAUCUGCCUAUUAGUGGGGGACAACAUCUCGAAAGGGAUGCUAAUACCGCAUACGUCCUACGGGAGAAAGCAGGGGAUCUUCGGACCUUGCGCUAAUAGAUGAGCCUAAGUCGGAUUAGCUAGUUGGUGGGGUAAAGGCCUACCAAGGCGACGAUCUGUAGCGGGUCUGAGAGGAUGAUCCGCCACACUGGGACUGAGACACGGCCCAGACUCCUACGGGAGGCAGCAGUGGGGAAUAUUGGACAAUGGGGGGAACCCUGAUCCAGCCAUGCCGCGUGUGUGAAGAAGGCCUUAUGGUUGUAAAGCACUUUAAGCGAGGAGGAGGCUACUUUAGUUAAUACCUAGAGAUAGUGGACGUUACUCGCAGAAUAAGCACCGGCUAACUCUGUGCCAGCAGCCGCGGUAAUACAGAGGGUGCGAGCGUUAAUCGGAUUUACUGGGCGUAAAGCGUGCGUAGGCGGCUUAUUAAGUCGGAUGUGAAAUCCCCGAGCUUAACUUGGGAAUUGCAUUCGAUACUGGUGAGCUAGAGUAUGGGAGAGGAUGGUAGAAUUCCAGGUGUAGCGGUGAAAUGCGUAGAGAUCUGGAGGAAUACCGAUGGCGAAAGCAGCCAUCUGGCCUAAUACUGACGCUGAGGUACGAAAGCAUGGGGAGCAAACAGGAUUAGAUACCCUGGUAGUCCAUGCCGUAAACGAUGUCUAC